rnacentral:rRNA from 1 species
GACGAACGCUGGCGGCGUGCUUAACACAUGCAAGUCGAGCGGUAAGGCUCCUUCGGGAGUACACGAGCGGCGAACGGGUGAGUAACACGUGAGUAAUCUGCCCUUCACUUCGGGAUAACCACCGGAAACGGUGGCUAAUACCGAAUACGACCCGUCUUCGCAUGAGGUGCUGGUGGAAAGUCUUUUCGGUGAAGGAUGUGCUCGCGGCCUAUCAGCUUGUUGGUGGGGUAAUGGCCUACCAAGGCUUCGACGGGUAGCCGGCCUGAGAGGGUGACCGGCCACACUGGGACUGAGACACGGCCCAGACUCCUACGGGAGGCAGCAGUGGGGAAUAUUGGACAAUGGGCGAAAGCCUGAUCCAGCAACGCCGCGUGAGGGAUGACGGCCUUCGGGUUGUAAACCUCUUUCAGUACCGACGAAGCGCCCUGUCGGGUGGUGACGGUAGGUACAGAAGAAGGACCGGCCAACUACGUG